GUGCCAUGUGGUUCCGCCCCUGAACAUCGACCGGGUGCACGAGGCGAUGGAGCUCCUGAGUGGCGAGCACGACUUUCGUUCCUUCAAAGGUGUCAGUCGCACGCCCGAAGAAGAAGAGCGCAGCACAGUGCGUGAGGUGACCGAGUUCCAACUCAGGCCGGCAGCGCCCAUAGACAGCGACGACCCGCUGUACGAGAACAUCCACCUCUGGGAGUUUCACAUCCGCUCCAGGUCUUUCCUCUACCGCC
rnacentral:lncRNA from 1 species